AUUUUUUUUUUCUCAUUAAUAUUUUUAAUAUUUUAUAAUGAAAAGUUGUUUCUGUGGCAUAGUUUAUUGCAGAACUGAGUGAAAUCAGUUGAAGACACAUGAGCCCGAUAGACCAACGAUUAAGAAUGAGUACAACAGUGACAAUGAUUGAAUGAUUACUAUACAAAGUGUGACAUCAGUGACAAAUGAGCUUACAGACAGAUACAGAGAGGCUCCAUACAAUGACAUUGAAAUUGCAUUCAACUUCUCAAUAAUUGUUGUACCACAAAAAACUGAGCAAAUUUUGAACAUUGUUUUUUGUUUUCAGUUGGCCUGGAAGAAAGAGGAGAAAAAAAACAACAACGUCUGAAAGAACACACAAAGGUAUACAUGUUCUACACACAAAGGGGUAAAUGUUCUACACACAAAGGUAUGUCCACUUUUGUAGGCAAAAUAAGAAAAACAAAAUGUGUUACUUGACUUGAUACAAGAUUUUUGAACAACAAAAAAAAAAGAUACAAAAUGAUCUUUUGGUAGAAACUUAACUUUGUGAACUGGUAAAUAAAAAAAAAAAAACUUAAAUGAUAGAAACAAACCAUCAACAGAAUUUCCUAAGUUCAACAAUGGCAUGAGUCUGAAUAAAGAAACUAACAACAAAAAAACAAGUUGAAUAAUUGUAAGGGAAUGAAGGGUACACAAGAGAAACAAAUAAUGUACAUGUUUUAAUGUCCCAGUUCAAU